GUUGGAAGCUUCAUAGUCUUCAUCAAGAUCCUUAUUAUUUCUUGCUAUUUGUGAACCUCCCUGCUUUCAAGUCCUCUUCAAUUGUUUCUUCAGGCCAGACAUUCCAUAUGAGAAGGACUGAGAGUUCAAGGAUGCUGCAAUUAACGGCCUGGACAGAGGAUGGGGACAUGAAUAAUGGUAGAGUCCAGCAUUAGCACAACACUCCAUUCAUCACUGCUGAAGGGCAAAUGCAUAACCCUCAAAAUGAUCCUGGAAAGAGGAAAAGGGAGAGGAAUUGCAAGUUCCAUGGAACAGUGAUUUACCAUGCAGCAGAGGAUGAGACCCAUCUGAUGAAGUGGCACUCCCAAAGAAAAGAUAAAGUCAAAUCUGGCUGGCCAGUUACAACUUCAGAGCUCUUUCAUAACUUUCUGAGGUUGUAGAUAAAUUGGACCUUCGCAGAAGACCGUGGCUGUGGACAAGUAAACAAUUCCUAUCAUACAUUUCUCACUGGAGGGAAAGUUAAAAGUUAGAUUCAAUAAAAGUGACCGCCAUGACUUAACUAAACCAUCCAGCAUCUCCUUGCCGACAGCCUGCCUUAUAUUUACAUGAAAGGAUUUCCUGCCAGUUUAUCAUCUUAGUCUUAAUACCUAGGCCUUUAUCCCCUCAUCUCUAUCCUACCAAUUGCCUGUCUUUUCAUUUUGCACAGAUGGAAUGGGCAAUUGAAGAAGUAAGGCAUCAUUACCUUCUUCUUUUUAAAGAUGUAGGGAGUGAGCACCAGGUUCUGUUCUCAGCAAACCUCUUUAAUCCUAGUGGGGUUGGUUAUAGCAACUUCAAGCCUACCUGACUCCAGUUUUCUCUUCCAAAUCAAUCUUUAAUCCUCAAAAAGGUUGAUUUGAUUGCACAGUCCUUGCUUACUGUAUUUCAAUGGUUCCCUAGGGUUUUCAUAUUAUAGCUGGAGUUCCUUAGCUUGGGAAAAAAAAUUCAUUUUAAGCCCCUUGACUCUCCUUUAUUUUUGUAUUUAACUUUUUAAAAUAAAAAAAUCUGAAAUAUCCUAACAUGUAGAAAUUUGCAGAAGAUCAUUCAUCUUUCUAAAAGCUAGCUUCCUCUAGUCAUCAUUUCCCACUCUAUGCACCAGCCAUGACUUGAGCCCCUAAAAUUUCUCUUGCUAUUUAACACUUCCAUGAUUGUGUCAAUCCUG
rnacentral:lncRNA from 10 species